AUCUUUGCACAGUGGCAAUAUUGUAGUUAAUAAGGUUAAACCGAAGUGUGAUUAUUGCUAAUUGAAAUUUUUUUCCAGUGCUAUCUGAAUAUAUGCUAAGACCUAUAGGGAGUUUUCUGGACCAUGUGUGCAUG